UACGCAGAUCUGUUUUAUUGGCAUGGGAACGUGAGAUUAAAAGAGAAACUUGACUGUCUAUUGGGGGGGGGGAACCUCCAUUGAACACAAUGAAGUUAGUUGCUUUGCAGGAGGCAAACAGACAUUUGAUUAGAAAGUUACGCAAAAUGUGUAUAAGAGUAAAACCAGGAACAUCUGGGAUGAUUUGCACAGCAUGCGGAAUCUGGGCUAUGAAGUAUGAAUUCCUGAUAAUUAAAUGAUUUCCAGAACCUUAUUCUCCAGGACUGCGGUGGACUGCCCUCUUUGAAGAAACCACCCACGUAAUAAUGACCCCGGAGAGCAAAACAAAACCCAACUGGCUUCAAUGCAAACUUCGCCAAAUUACUGGGCUCGCCUGAAGACAGGCAAACUGGCAAGAUAAUUCUGCUCGGGAGGGAUAAAAAAUAAAAUAUAUCUGCUGCAACAACCCA